rnacentral:rRNA from 1 species
GAUGAACGCUGGCGGCGUGCCUAAUACAUGCAAGUCGAGCGAACGGACGAGAAGCUUGCUUCUCUGAUGUUAGCGGCGGACGGGUGAGUAACACGUGGAUAACCUACCUAUAAGACUGGGAUAACUUCGGGAAACCGGAUCUAAUACCGGAUGAUAUUUUGAACCGCAUGGUUCAAAAGUGAAAGACGGUCUUGCUGUCACUUAUAGAUGGAUCCGCGCUGCAUUAGCUAGUUGGUAAGGUAACGGCUUACCAAGGCAACGAUGCAUAGCCGACCUGAGAGGGUGAUCGGCCACACUGGAACUGAGACACGGUCCAGACUCCUACGGGAGGCAGCAGUAGGGAAUCUUGCGCAAUGGGCGAAAGCCUGACGGAGCAACGCCGCGUGAGUGAUGAAGGUCUUCGGAUCGUAAAGCUCUGUUAUUAGGGAAGAACAUAUGUGUAAGUAACUGUGCACAUCUUGACGGUACCUAAUCAGAAAGCCACGGCUAACUACGUG